ACCACAUCUAAGGAAGGCAGCAGGCACGCAAAUUACCCAAUGAACGAAGUUCGAGGUAGUGACGAAAAAUAACGAUAGCGGACUCAUCCGAGGCCCGCUAAUUGGAAUGAGUACACUUUAAAACCGUCCCCGAGGAUCUAUUGGAGGGCAAGUCUGGUGCCAGCAGCCGCGGUAAUUCCAGCUCCAAUAGCGUAUAUUAAAGUUGUUGUGGUUAAAAAGCUCGUAGUUGGAUCUCAACAGCUCUGGGUCGGUUAGCUUUGUGUUAUACUGAUCUAUGAGUUGUGCUUUUGCUGGAGGUUUAGGGGUGCUCUUAAUCGAGUGUCUCUGGAUGCCAGCAGGUUUACUUUGAAAAAAUUAGAGUGUUCAAAGCAGGCUGUUAUGCCUGAAUAUUCGUGCAUGGAAUAAUAGAAUAGGAUGUCGAUCUUAUUUUGUUGGUUUUCGAGACUCGACAUAAUGAUUAAUAGGGACAGUCGGGGGCAUUUGUAUUCAAACGCUAGAGGUGAAAUUCUUGGACCGUUUGAAGACAAACUACUGCGAAAGCAUUUGCCAAGAAUGUUUUCAUUAAUCAAGAACGAAAGUUAGAGGUUCGAAGGCGAUUAGAUACCGCCCUAGUUCUAACCAUAAACGAUGCCAGCUAGCGAUCUGCUGACGUUUUUACUGUAGACUCAGCAGGAAGCUUCCGGGAAACCAAAGCAUUUGGGUUCCAGGGGAAGUAUGGUUGCAAAGCUGAAACUUAAAGGAAUUGACGGAAGGGCACCACCAGGAGUGGAGCCUGUGGCUUAAUUUGACUCAACACGGGAAAUCUCACCAGGCCCGGACACUGGAAGGAUUGACAGAUUGAUAGCUCUUUCUUGAUUCGGUGGGUGGUGGUGCAUGGCCGUUCUUAGUUGGUGGAGUGAUUUGUCUGGUUAAUUCCGAUAACGAACGAGACUCUGUCCUGCUAAAUAGUGUUAUCGUCUUCUUAGCGAUGACAAUUCUUCUUAGAGGGACUGGCAACUCUUAGUUGCACGAGAUUGAGCAAUAACAGGUCUGUGAUGCCCUUAGAUGUUCUGGGCCGCACACGCGCUACACUGAAUAGAUCAGCGUGUCACCCUUCCCGAAAGGGACGGGUAAACCGCUGAACCCUAUUCGUGGUAGGGAUCGGGGCUUGCAAUUAUUCCCCGUGAACCAGGAAUUCCCAGUAGGCACAGGUCAUAAGCCUGUGUCGAUUACGUCCCUGCCCUUUGUACACACCGCCCGUCGCUACUACCGAUUGAACGUUUUAGUGAGGUCCACGGAUUGUGUUUCAGCUGGCUCACGCUGACUGAUUUGCGAGAAGUCGACCAAACUGAAGCGUUUAGAGGA
rnacentral:rRNA from 1 species